GGCAGUUCUCAGAUGAUGCAUCCUGGAAUCGGGCUCCUUCCUCUCUGGUUCCAGGUGUGUCACCUGAGAACCGCA
rfam:Myotis lucifugus cont2.2662, whole genome shotgun sequence.